GGUGGAGGAGCGCAGCGCGCAGCCGCCCAGCCGAAAGGAGGGGGGGAGAAGAAGAGGGCGCGAUCCGAGCCCUCUGCACGAGCCGGAGAAGCAGCAACCUAAUUUCCUAGGAAGUAAGGCCCGUAUAUUAUCGAGACUUUAGGGCGCAACCCCGCGCGUCUUUAUUGGGCGGCAAGUCCUGCUGCGCUCCAACCGGGUUGCCUAUUUUCCUGUUUUCGGGAUCGCAGCCUUAAAUCCAGAUUAAAGCGCUGCUGGCUUUGCAGUUCCCGUCCUCGGAUCGGGAGUCGGCUGGCUUCGUUUCUGGUUUGCUUAUUCCGAAGCAAACCCCACCGUCUUUUUUAAUGGCACGUUCAGGGUUGGGUUCCCAGCAGUUUAUAGCCUUGAACCCGUGCAGCCCGUUGGUUUCAGCGGCGGGUUUACCUCGCUCUGCGUAAUUGUCUUGCAGGACAGAUCUCAAUAGUUUCUGUUUUUGCAGGUGGGGAUCACACGGGGUUGGAAGUCGACGCUUUGGCAAGUAGGAGAAUCAGCCGCCUCUGGGCCCCUCCCCAUCGCAACACAGACUGGGGAGGGGGUGCACCUUCCACCCCCCACCCCUCCUGACCAUGAUCUUGGUUUCUGGAUCCUCCUAACGCCCGAAUAACAGGCAGAAAUUCAACUGCUGCUAUUCACAACCCCACCUUAGGAAAAGCUUCACAAGCGGAAAUUCUGUCAGUGGUCCAGAAACCCCACCAGCAUUAAAGAAAACUAAACAAAAAGUAGCCGAUUGCAGACUUUUGAUAAAACCAUUUCUGUCGUGUCCUUCCCGAGUUUUGAUUUGCGGCUC